rnacentral:tRNA from 1 species
GGAGAGGUAGCAUAGUCUGGCCUAAUGCGCUCGCCUGGAAAGUGGGUGUACCGAAAGGUACCGUGGGUUCGAAUCCCACUCUCUCCGCCA